AUCCAUUUUACGAGUCCUAAAUAGGACGAAAUAUGCGUCCUGGAU
rfam:Schistosoma haematobium scaffold1509_11, whole genome shotgun sequence.